rnacentral:rRNA from 1 species
CUACGAAGGGGGCUAGCGUUGUUCGGAAUCACUGGGCGUAAAGCGCGCGUAGGUGGAUCAAUUAGUUGAGGGUGAAAUCCCGGGGCUUAACCUCGGAACUGCCUUCAAUACUGUUAGUCUUGAGUCCGAGAGAGGUGAGUGGAAUUCCUAGUGUAGAGGUGAAAUUCGUAGAUAUUAGGAAGAACACCAGUGGCGAAGGCGGCUCACUGGCUCGGUACUGACGCUGAGGUGCGAAAGCGUGGGGAGCAAACAGGAUUAGAUACCCUAGUAGUCC